GUUGUGCUCACGGCUCACCUUGCUUCUGCUAGAGAUGCCACAUUAGCUGGGGCUGGGUUUGUAAGAAAAUGUUCUUGACUAGCUGUGGUUAUGAGGGGGACAAGGACCCCAUUUUCAGGGUCUGCUCAUUUCUCUGACCAGGAGCGGUGUCUCCUACAGAGCGGAAGGUUGCAUCUAGAAGAAUGACUCCAGGUGGCAAGUUGCUUUCCUUCCUCCCAUGUCUUUCUAUCUGUCUGUCUCUCUCUUUCUUCUCUAGUGUGUUGGCCAACUUUCUCACUGACUCUCCUCUCCUGUCCUUAUGCCAUCUCCCUUCGUAGGACACGGGCAGGCGUCCUACGUGUGCAUCCCCACAGGCUAUGUCUCUGGAGGCAUGGAGAAGUAGGAGGGGAUGAAAAUCAUGCACAGCUGUGACUGUCGGUGUUACUGUGGUCUCUGUUCCUCGAGUGGGGCCGAAGUAGAUGGGAUUCGAGAGGGAGACCAGUAUGAGGACAAGAUUUGAAACACCAAUAGAGGUUUGUGUAGUGAUGGCUCAUGCUUGGCUUUUGCAGCUGCGCUUCCAGAAGAAUUUUCCAGGACCCCUAUCUCGAUGAGAAACUGGGAAAAGUGGACAUGAGCAGACUGGACAUCCCUGUAAACAGACAUGAACACCCUUGUUAGCAGACAUGAACAGUCCUCAGCUUUCUGACUCCCGCAUAACUGGCUUACCGAGGGAAAAGAAAUCAAACGUCAGAGUUUACUCCCCUCGUUGGAUGGAAAGCAAGCGAGAGCCGUGAGCCCGCGAGCAUUGUUGAUGCAAGUCAGUAGCCGUCGAGUUGGCUGUGGAGCAGUCGCUGUUGUCAGUGAAAUAAAUGUCUGGUUUGGUGAGGGCUCUGCUUAUGGCCCCCCUGGCCCCAGAUGCGGUGUGUCCUCGGCAGCGGAAGGUUGCAUCCAGGAAGAUGACUCCAGGUGUUGGCAGAGGAAUCGUCCAGGAGCCCUAGCCGGACAAGAAUAUGGCAGAAGUGGACCUGAGCAGUCUGGACAUCCUUCUAAGGAGACAUGAAUAGUCCUUAUGUUUCUGCCUUCUGCAUCGCUGGCUGUGAGUAAGAGUACCAAGGGAAACGAAGUCACGCAUCAGAGUCUACUGCCCUCAUGCGAUGGAAAGCGAGUGAGAGCGUCGAGAGACUCUGAGCAUUGUUGAUGCCACGCAAAAGCCGUCCACCUGGGAGCCGAGGAGCCGCUGCUGUCAGUGAGAUAAGUGUCUGGUUUCAUGAGAGCUCUGCUCAUGCCCAACCUGAGUCCAGGUAGAGAAGCCCAGUACAGUAGGGCUGGGUUUGUAUGAAAAGGUUCCUGACUAGCUGUGGUCACGAGGGAGAAAAGGUCCCUAUUUUGAGAGGUUGCUCAUUUUUCUGGUCAGGAACGGUGUCUCCUCUGCAGCAGAAGAUUGCAUCCAGGAGGAUGACUCCACGUGCUGCGCUUCCAGAGGAAUUUUCCAGGAGCCCCAGCCCGAGGAGAAACUGGCAGAAAUGGACAUGAGCAGAUUGGAGGUCCUUGUAAGCCGACAUGAACAGUCCUCAGCUUUCUGACUCCCGCAUAACUGGCUUACUGAGGGAAAAGAAAUGAAACAUCAGAGUUUACGCCCCUCGUCGGAUGGAAGGCGAGCGAGAGCAGUGAGCCCGCGAGCAUUGUGGAUGCAAGUCAGGAGCCGACCAGUUGGCAGUGGAGCAGUCGCUUCUGUCCGUGAGAUAAGUGUCUGGUUUGGUGAGUGCUCUGCUCACGCUCCACCUGAGUCCAGGUAGGGAAGCCCAGUACGGUAGGGCUGGGUUUGUAUGAAAAGGUUCCUAACUAGCUGUGGUCAUGAGGCAGAAAAGGUCCCUAUUUUCAGAGGUUGCUCAUUUCUGUGGUCAGGAACGGUGUCUCCUCCGCAGAGUAAUGUUGGAUUCAGGAAGAUGAUUCCAGGUGGUCAGUUGCUUGCUUUCCUCUCAUUUUUCUCUCUCUCUCUCUCUCUCUUCUCUAAUGUGUUGGCCAACUUUCUCACUCUCUUUUCUCUCCGUUCCUCGUGCCGUCUCCCUUCGUAGGAGACAAGCAGGCUUGCUAGGUGUGCAUCCCCGCAGGCCAGGUUUCGGGAGCCAUGGAAAAGUAGGAGGGGAUGAAAAUCAUGCAGGGCUGUGACUGUUGGUGUUAACUCGGUCUCUGUUCAUCGAGUGGGGCUGAUGUAGAUGGGAUCGAAGAGGGAGGCCAAGAUGAGGGCAAGUUUUGACGCACCAGUAGAGCUUUAAGUAGUGAUGUCUCAUGCUCGGCUUUUGCAGCUGCACUUCCAGAGGAAUUUUCCAAGAGCCCCAGCCUGAGGAGAAAGUGGCAGAAUUGGACAUGAGCAGACUGGACAUCCUUGUAAGCAGACAUGAACAGUCCUCAGCUUUCUGACUCCCGCAUAACUGGCUGCGAGUAAGCGGUCAGUGCUUUGAAUUUCUCAUCUGUGCUCGCUGUAGUAUUCUUCAUAGGCCGUGUGCUUCCUUGUUAGUUACGAGGCUCUGGGAUUAAGGCUGGGGAAGGGACGAGUCUCCUGAGCAAAGUGAGUAUUUUGGGUGCCGUUACAAUGGGUGCCUUCUAGUUGCAGUUGUAACAUAGUAAUGGGAGAUGGGUUGAGGGCGGACCGUGGGAUAUGGGAGAUGUGAAAUGAAGAGACUACGCGACAUUGCAGACGGAGAUGCUAAUUUUUUUGUUUCCUCCCUCCCCCCGCUAGGUUUAGUAUCAAGGAAAAAGAAGUCACGCGUCAGAGUCGACUGCCCUGAUGCGAUGGAAAGCGAGCGAGAGCGUCGAAACUCUGAGCAUUGUUGAUGCCACGCAAAAGCCGUCCAUCUGGGAGCCGAGGAGACGCUGCUGUCCAUGAGAUAAGUGUCUGGUUUGGUGAGGGCUCUGCUCACGCCCAACCUGAGUCCAGUAGAGAAGCCCAGUACGGUAGGGCUGGGUUUGUAUGAAAAGAUUGCUGACUAGCUGUGGUCACGAGGGAGAAAAAGUCCCUACUUUGAGAGGUUGCUCAUUUCUCUGGUCAGGAACGGUGUCUCUUCCGCAUCAGAAGGUUGCAUCCAGGAGGAUGACUCCAGGUGGUGAGUUGCUUGCUUUCCUCCCAUGUUUUUAUUUCUCUCUUUGUCUGUCUGUCUGUCUGUCUCUCUGUCUCGUACGUUGGCCAACACACACUCUCUAUCUCUCUUUCUCUCUCUCUGUCCUUGCCUUUCCUUGUGCUGUCUUCCUUUGUACGACACGGGCAGGCGUGCAUCCCCACAGGCCAGAUCUUGGGAGCCAUGGAGAAGUAGGAGGGGAGGAAAAUCAUGCAGGACUAUGUCUGUUGGUGUUAACUCGGUCUCUGUUCAUCGAGUGGGGCUGAUGUAGGUGGGAUUGGAGAGGGAGGUAGGGAUGAGGGCAAGAACUGAAGCAACAAAUAGAGCUUUAAGUAGUGAUGGCUCAUGUUUGGCUUUUGCAGCUGCGCUUCCAGAGGAAUUUUCCAAGAGCCCUAGCCCGAGGAGAAAGUGGCAGAAAUGGACAUGGGCAGACUGGACAUCCUUGUCAGCAGACAUGAACAGUCCUCAGCUUUCUGACUCCCGCAUAACUGGCUGUGAGACCGAAGGAAAAGAAGUCAUCCCUCAGAGUCUCAAGCCUUCAUGCGAUGGAAAGCGAGCCAGAGCGACGAGACAGUGAGCAUAGUUGAUGCCAGGCAAGAGUCGUCUAUCUGGGAUGCAAGCACACACCACUCUCAGUGAGAUAAGUGUCUGGUUUGGUGAUUGCUGUGCUCACGGCCCACCUUGCUCCUGCUAGGGACGCCACGUUAUCUGGGGCUGGGUUUGUAAGAAAUGGUUCCUGACCAGCUGUGCUUACGAGAGAGACAAGGUCCCCAUUUUCAGGGCCUGCUCAUUUCUCUGGCCAGGAGCGGUGUCUCCUGUGCAGCGGAAGGUUGCAUCUAGGAGGAUGACUCCAGGUGGUGAGUUGCUUGCCUCCCUCCCAUGUCUGUCUCUCUUUCUUCUCUAGUGUAUUGGCCAACUUUCUCACUGUCUCUCCUCUACUCUCCUCUCCUUUCCUUGUGCCGUCUCCCUUCGUAGGACACGGGCAGGCAUGCUAGGUGUGCGUCCCCACAGGCCAGAUCUCGGGAGUUGUGGACGAAAAUCAUGCGGGGCAGUGGGUGCGAGAGUGGAGCGGUGACUGUCGGUGUUAACUCGGUCUCUGUUCAUUGAGCGGGGCCGAUGUAGAUGGGACUGGAGAGGGAGGCAGGGCUGAGGGCAAGAUUUCCAGCACCAAUAGAGCUCUGUGUAGUGAUGGUUCUUGCUUGGCUUUAUUAGUUCGCAGAGGAAUCGUCCAGGAGCCCUAGCUGCAUAAGAAUAUGGCGGAAGUGGACCUGAGCAGCCUGGACAUCCUUCUAAGGAGACAUGAAUAGUCCUUAUGUUUCUGCCUUCUGCAUCGCUGGCUGUGAGUAAGAGUACCAAGGGAAACGAAGUCACGCAUCAGAGUCUACUGCCCUCAUGCGAUGGAAAGCGAGUGAGAGCGUCGAGAGACUCUGAGCAUUGUUGAUGCCACGCAAAAGCUGUCCAUCUGGGAGCCGAGGGCCGCUGCUGUCUGUGAGAUAAGUGUCUGGUUUCAUGAGGGCUCUGCUCAUGCCCAACCUGAGUCCAGGUAGAGAAGCCCAGUACAGUAGGGCUGGGUUUGUAUGAAAAGGUUCCUGACUAGCUGUGGUCACGAGGGAGAAAAGGUCCCUAUUUUGAGAGGUUGCUCAUUUUUCUGGUCAGGAACGGUGUCUCCUCUGCAGCAGAAGAUUGCAUCCAGGAGGAUGACUCCACGUGCUGCGCUUCCAGAGGAAUUUUCCAGGAGCCCCAGCCCGAGGAGAAAUUGGCAGAAAUGGACAUGAGCAGAUUGGACGUCCUUGUAAGCCGACAUGAACAGUCCUCAGCUUUCUGACUCCCGCAUAACUGGCUUACUGAGGGAAAAGAAAUGAAACAUCAGAGUUUACGCCCCUCGUCGGAUGGAAGGCGAGCGAGAGCAGUGAGCCCGCGAGCAUUGUGGAUGCAAGUCAGGAGCCGACCAGUUGGCAGUGGAGCAGUCGCUACUGUCAGUGAGAUAAGUGUCUGGUUUGGUGAGGGCUCCAGGAGCGGUGUCUCCUACGCAGCGGAAGGUUGCAUCUAGGAGGAUGAUUCCAGAUGGACACGGGCAGGCGUGCUACGUGUGCAUCCCCACAGGCUAUGUGUCGGGAGCCAUGGAGAAGUAGGAGGGGACAAAAAUCAUGCAGGACUGUCACUGUCCAUCGAGUGGGGCCAACGUAGAUGGCAUUGGAGAGGGAGACUAGGAUGUGGGCAAGCUCUGAAGCACCAAUAGAGCUUUGUGCAGUGAUGGCUCAUGUUUGGCUUUUGCAGCUGCGCUUCCAGAGGAAUUUUCCAGGAGCCCGAUCUUGAGGAGAAAGUGGCAGAAGUGGACAUGAGCACACUGGACAUCCUUGUAAGCAGACAUGAACAGUCCUCAGCUUUCUGACUCCCGCAUAACUGGCUGUGAGUAAGCGGUCAGUGCUUUGAAUUCCUCGUCUGUGCUCGGUGUAGUAUUCUUCACAGGCCGUGUGCUUCCUCGUUGGGUACGGGACUCUGUGAGAUUACGGCUGGGGAGGGGCCAGAGUCUGAUGUGCAGAAUGAUUAUUUUGGGUGCUGUUGCAAGGGGUGCUUUUUGGUUGUAAUGCUAAAGGUGGAAUGGAGAGGGUUGAGGGCGGAGGACUGCCCUGUCACCAUUUGCUACACCCACAAUUUCCCAUUCCUGGGUCUAUGGGAUAGGGAAUUGUGAUAGAUGGGUUGGACUUUGUCAGAGUUUGAACCAGUGUUCCCUCUAAUUUUUCCUACUCAUGUGUGGAAGGAAUUUUAUGUGCACCAAUAUGGAGGUGAUAUUACCUCCAUAUUGGUGCACGUAACAAAAUUCAUGUGGCGGGUGUGGGGCCGAGGCUUUGGGAGUGUGAGACGGGGCUCAGGGCUGGGGAAGAGUGUUGAGGUGCGAGGGGGUGAGGGCUCCAUCUGGGGGUGUGGUCUCAGGGCUGGGGAUGAGGGGUUUGGGGUCCAGGCUGCCCUGGGACUACAGGAAGCCGGGGAGAGGACUCCCCGCAGCUCUCUCUCCCCGCAGCAGCACCUGGGCUGGGGGGAGAGGCACCUCUCCCUAAUGCGGCAGCUCCAGGGCUGGGGCCACAGGAUAGGUGCUUUUUCCCCGGCCGCAGCAGGUCCGGGGCUGGGGGAGAAGCAUGUCUCCACGCCACAGCCCUGAGUCCCUGCACAGUGUUUAAUAUGCUGCUGUGCAGCUUAGAGGUAACUUAGUGAUUUCACACAAGUUGAAACCUAUUUUAAUACAUUUUUUUCUAAAUUAGCAAAAUCUUGUUUUACUUGUGUGUAAAUUUUAAAAAGAGGUUUCACAGGAGCAACGGCUGUCCACCCCUCGCUUGGUCUAGAGUCAGCCAUUCCUGCCAACCAGCAAUUCAAGCACCAGUGAAGUCAUGUGAUCAUAAAAAUAGACUUGAUAAUGUUUUGGUUUUUAAUAAUGUAUUAAAUAUGGUAAAUGAGAGUCACAAUAAAACCCUAGGAAGUGUUAAAAGAAGAUAUGAAGGUUUCUUGAAAAGUAAAGAAUUAAAAUGUGUGAAACUCCAUUUCCUGGAGGUAAUGGGAAAGAGUGGCCAGUUCAGGGAAUCGGAACAGCUGAGCAGACCAAUUUGUGAACAUCUCUGUGCAGAUGUCACUUGUAUGUAAACACCUGAAUGAAGACUGAGAGUAUUUAAAGAGCAGGGUGUAUGCGGGGGAGAGGGAAGGUGUCAGAAACUCACUACAUCAUUUCAGAGAGGGAAGAGCAGCCUUGUCUAGACCUUCCCCGCUCCCCCCCCCACACCUUCCUUUUGCCCCUGUUACUGUACAUGGUCCGCUUGCUCCAGCAUCCUCAACAGCAAAGUAACCGAUUCUGCUGGGGAGUGUUUUAUAACACUACAGCAGCUGGGGGGGCUCUUGCCGUGGCUCAGGUACGAUGUUCCAGGCUGUAAUCCUGACCAGUGUGGGGCUAUGUCAUCUGACCGGCAACGCGGGGGGGGCACCUCACCGUGCUUCUCUGUUAUAGCUCUGACUUGGGUAGCUCACAAACAGCCUGUCAGCGUGAUGCUCCCCCCUUUCCCCCCCAAGUGUCUGUGUGUGGCUACGACUCUGAUCCCAGAGCUUGUCAGCACUCACCAGUCACACUUUGGCUUCCAUCAGACCUGGGCUACCACAUGCAGGGUGACCCCAACACACUCCCUGUCCUGAAUUUUACCCCAAAAACGUGUUGUGCACUGUCCAGCCAUCUCCUGGACAGGCCAGAUAGAUUAGGUCUGUUGUACCUCUAGGAGGUCAAUAUACAAAAAUCUGCCACCUUGUGGAUAAUUCCAUUUACAGUUCACAACACUGGAUUAGUUUUGGUUCAAGAAUAAAAUAAGUUUUUUUAACUACAUAGAGAGGUUUUAAGUGAACAAAAGUAAUAAGGCAUUAAAGAAGAAAUGGUUACAAGAAAAAAUAAAGAUAAAAUGCUUCCUAAACUUAACGAACUAGGCUUGUGAAGUCCCUUCCCACAGCUUCCAGUAAUAUUGCUGCCCAAACCCUCAGGCCAGGAUCUGCUUCCAGGGUCCAGCAGCUGUUUCUCUGAUCAUCUUAGGUGAAAGGGAGAUGAGGGAGAGAGAACUUGGGUGUUUUUGCCCUUUCCUUUUAUAGCUCGGUCACCAUUUGAAAAACAUUUUCCUGAGUGUUUGUAGUAAUGUAGUAAGUGAAGGCAACAUGGUAAAGGCCUAAUGAAGGCCCAGUAUGAAGCCUGAACCAAACUAAAGUAAUGGUCAAGGCUUUGCUAGCAUAGAAAGCAAAGGUAAGCUGUGAGCAAAAGGCAGGCCCUGCUCACAGAAGUUGGCAAGGAAAGGGCUGAUGUUGCAGAAAUACAUAUUCAUUUAGCAUAGUUAUAGUAUAAACAUGGUACCAAGACAUACCAUACGGGAACAUUCCACAGAUAACAUGGAACAGACCGACCCAUCCCAAUGACAGGGGCAAAAGGGUAAAAUGAUGGAUAGAGAUGUUUUGAUCGAACCAACAGGUACAAGGUGCGAGGCGGCCCCUUACUGCAUAGAGGGGUUGUACCUUGCUACGUAGAGGGGUUGCACCUCAAUACGUCAGGAGUGAUGUGUAACUUGUUUGUACUUGUGUAUAAGAAUGUGUCCCUGGGGUGGUGUCUUUGUCCGGCUGAGGGGGCAGUGGAAAGUCCCGCCACUGAGCUGAGUCCAUUGCCGAGCGGCACUUUCUAGCACUAUGCCCGGUAGACUAAGUAAUCUACGGGGAACUGAAAUUGUGUCAGGGUCGCAAUAAACCUGGCCGAGGGGCCUUUGUAUCUUA